rnacentral:misc_RNA from 1 species
GAUGAAGAACGCAGCAAAAUGCGAUAAGUAAUGUGAAUUGCAGAAUUCAGUGAAUCAUCGAAUCUUUGAACGCACAUUGCGCCCGCUGGUAUUCCGGCGGGCAUGCCUGUUCGAGCGUCAUUUCAACCCUCAAACCCCCGGGUUUGGUGUUGGGGAUCGGCUCUACCUCACGGCGGUGCCGCCCCCGAAAUACAUUGGCGGUCUCGCUGCAGCCUCCAUUGCGUAGUAGCUACCACCUCGCAACUGGAACGCGGCGCGGCCAUGCCGUAAAACCCCAACUUCUGAAUGUUGACCUCGGAUCAGGUAGGAAUACCCGCUGAACUUAAGCAUAUCAAUAAGCGGAGGA